UUUAUGGAGAGUUUGAUCCUGGCUCAGGAUGAACGCUGGCGGCGUGCCUAAUACAUGCAAGUCGAGCGAACGGACGAGAAGCUUGCUUCUCUGAUGUUAGCGGCGGACGGGUGAGUAACACGUGGAUAACCUACCUAUAAGACUGGGAUAACUUCGGGAAACCGGAGCUAAUACCGGAUAAUAUUUUGAACCGCAUGGUUCAAAAGUGAAAGACGGUCUUGCUGUCACUUAUAGAUGGAUCCGCGCUGCAUUAGCUAGUUGGUAAGGUAACGGCUUACCAAGGCAACGAUGCAUAGCCGACCUGAGAGGGUGAUCGGCCACACUGGAACUGAGACACGGUCCAGACUCCUACGGGAGGCAGCAGUAGGGAAUCUUCCGCAAUGGGCGAAAGCCUGACGGAGCAACGCCGCGUGAGUGAUGAAGGUCUUCGGAUCGUAAAACUCUGUUAUUAGGGAAGAACAUAUGUGUAAGUAACUGUGCACAUCUUGACGGUACCUAAUCAGAAAGCCACGGCUAACUACGUGCCAGCAGCCGCGGUAAUACGUAGGUGGCAAGCGUUAUCCGGAAUUAUUGGGCGUAAAGCGCGCGUAGGCGGUUCUUUAAGUCUGAUGUGAAAGCCCACGGCUCAACCGUGGAGGGUCAUUGGAAACUGGAAAACUUGAGUGCAGAAGAGGAAAGUGGAAUUCCAUGUGUAGCGGUGAAAUGCGCAGAGAUAUGGAGGAACACCAGUGGCGAAGGCGACUUUCUGGUCUGUAACUGACGCUGAUGUGCGAAAGCGUGGGGAUCAAACAGGAUUAGAUACCCUGGUAGUCCACGCCGUAAACGAUGAGUGCUAAGUGUUAGGGGGUUUCCGCCCCUUAGUGCUGCAGCUAACGCAUUAAGCACUCCGCCUGGGGAGUACGACCGCAAGGUUGAAACUCAAAGGAAUUGACGGGGACCCGCACAAGCGGUGGAGCAUGUGGUUUAAUUCGAAGCAACGCGAAGAACCUUACCAAAUCUUGACAUCCUUUGACAACUCUAGAGAUAGAGCCUUCCCCUUCGGGGGGCAAAGUGACAGGUGGUGCAUGGUUGUCGUCAGCUCGUGUCGUGAGAUGUUGGGUUAAGUCCCGCAACGAGCGCAACCCUUAAGCUUAGUUGCCAUCAUUAAGUUGGGCACUCUAAGUUGACUGCCGGUGACAAACCGGAGGAAGGUGGGGAUGACGUCAAAUCAUCAUGCCCCUUAUGAUUUGGGCUACACACGUGCUACAAUGGACAAUACAAAGGGCAGCGAAACCGCGAGGUCAAGCAAAUCCCAUAAAGUUGUUCUCAGUUCGGAUUGUAGUCUGCAACUCGACUACAUGAAGCUGGAAUCGCUAGUAAUCGUAGAUCAGCAUGCUACGGUGAAUACGUUCCCGGGUCUUGUACACACCGCCCGUCACACCACGAGAGUUUGUAACACCCGAAGCCGGUGGAGUAACCUUUUAGGAGCUAGCCGUCGAAGGUGGGACAAAUGAUUGGGGUGAAGUCGUAACAAGGUAGCCGUAUCGGAAGGUGCGGCUGGAUCACCUCCUUU
rnacentral:rRNA from 1 species